UACGAAGGGGGCUAGCGUUGUUCGGAAUUACUGGGCGUAAAGGGCUCGUAGGCGGCCAACUAAGUCGGACGUGAAAUCCCUCAGCUUAACUGGGGAACUGCGUCCGAUACUGGAUGGCUUGGAUUUGGGAGAGGGAUGCGGAAUUCCAGGUGUAGCGGUGAAAUGCGCAGAUAUGUGGAGGAAUACCGAUGGCGAAGGCAGUUCUCUGGGCCAUUACUGACGCUGAGGAGCGAAAGCGUGGGGAGCGAACAGG
rnacentral:rRNA from 1 species